rnacentral:misc_RNA from 1 species
AACGCACAUUGCGCCUUCUGGUAUUCCGGGAGGCACGUCUGUUUGAGCGUCAGCAACACCUCAAAGCUCGCUUUGGUUAUGGGACGGGUCGGCCCCUCUUGGGGGGCACGCCCUCCUUAACGUUGCCCGACGAUAGCGAACCAGCAGCCUGGCAGUAGACGUAGUAAAUCUUUCUCGUUUGCCUGCUCAGGAGGCCGGUCGCCAACGAAAACCCCAAAACCUUUUGACCUCAAAUCAGACGAGGAUACCCGCUGAACUUAA